AGUGAACGCUGGCGGUAGGCCUAACACAUGCAAGUCGAACGGCAGCACAGUAAGAGCUUGCUCUUACGGGUGGCGAGUGGCGGACGGGUGAGGAAUACAUCGGAAUCUACUUUUUCGUGGGGGAUAACGUAGGGAAACUUACGCUAAUACCGCAUACGACCUACGGGUGAAAGCAGGGGAUCUUCGGACCUUGCGCGAUUGAAUGAGCCGAUGUCGGAUUAGCUAGUUGGCGGGGUAAAGGCCCACCAAGGCGACGACCCGUAGCUGGUCUGAGAGGAUGAUCAGCCACACUGGAACUGAGACACGGUCCAGACUCCUACGGGAGGCAGCAGUGGGGAAUAUUGGACAAUGGGCGCAAGCCUGAUCCAGCCAUACCGCGUGGGUGAAGAAGGCCUUCGGGUUGUAAAGCCCUUUUGUUGGGAAAGAAAAGCGGCAGGUUAAUACCCCGCUGUUCUGACGGUACCCAAAGAAUAAGCACCGGCUAACUUCGUG
rnacentral:rRNA from 1 species